rnacentral:misc_RNA from 1 species
GAUGAAGAACGUAGCGAAAUGCGAUAAGUAAUGUGAAUUGCAGAAUUCAGUGAAUCAUCGAAUCUUUGAACGCACAUUGCGCCCGCCAGUAUUCUGGCGAGCAUGCCUGUUCGAGCGUCAUUUCAACCAUCAAGCCCCAGGGUUGUGUUGGAGCCCUGCGGCUGCCGCAGCCUCCCAAAACCAGUGGCGGGCUCGCUAUCACACCGAGUGCAGUAGUUUACUCUUCGCUCAGGGCGUGUGGCGGGUGCUAGCCGUGAAACCCCCAACUUCUCAAGGUUGACCUCGGAUCAGGUAGGAAUACCCGCUGAACUUAAGCAUAUCAAUAAGCGGAGGA